rnacentral:rRNA from 1 species
AUACGGAGGGUGCGAGCGUUAUUCGGAAUCACUGGGCGUAAAGGACGCGUAGGCGGGUUGGCAAGUCAGAUGUGAAAUCCUACAGCUUAACUGUAGAACUGCAUUUGAAACUGCUAACCUAGAGUAUGGGAGGGGGAGAUGGAAUUAGUGGUGUAGGGGUAAAAUCCGUAGAUAUCACUAGGAAUACCGAAAGCGAAGGCGAUCUCCUGGAACAUAACUGACGCUAAGGCGUGAAAGCGUGGGGAGCAAACAGGAUUAGAUACCCUAGUAGUCC